rnacentral:rRNA from 2 species
GCUAGAGACGCUGGCGGCGUGCCUAAUACAUGCAAGUCGAACGCACUGACGUCGACCGAAGCUGCUUGCAGUGGACGUUGAUUGACGUGAGUGGCGGACGGGUGAGUAACACGUGGGUAACCUACCCUUAAGUGGGGGAUAACAUUUGGAAACAGAUGCUAAUACCGCAUAACCAUUCAGACCACAUGGUCUGAAUGUAAAAGACGGCCUUUGGCUGUCACUUUUGGACGGACCCGCGGCGUAUUAGUUAGUUGGUAAGGUAACGGCUUACCAAGACAAUGAUACGUAGCCGACCUGAGAGGGUAAUCGGCCACAUUGGGACUGAGACACGGCCCAAACUCCUACGGGAGGCAGCAGUAGGGAAUCUUCCACAAUGGACGAAAGUCUGAUGGAGCAACGCCGCGUGAGUGAAGAAGGUUUUAGGAUCGUAAAACUCUGUUGUUGGAGAAGAACAGGGACUAGAGUAACUGUUAGUCCUUUGACGGUAUCCAACCAGAAAGCCACGGCUAACUACGUGCCAGCAGCCGCGGUAAUACGUAGGUGGCAAGCGUUGUCCGGAUUUAUUGGGCGUAAAGCGAGCGCAGGCGGUUUUUUAAGUCUGAUGUGAAAGCCUUCGGCUUAACCGAAGAAGUGCAUUAGAAACUGGGAAACUUGAGUGCAGAAGAGGACAGUGGAACUCCAUGUGUAGCGGUGAAAUGCGUAGAUAUAUGGAAGAACACCAGUGGCGAAGGCGGCUGUCUGGUCUGUAACUGACGCUGAGGCUCGAAAGUAUGGGGAGCGAACAGGAUUAGAUACCCUGGUAGUCCAUACCGUAAACGAUGAAUGCUAAGUGUUGGAGGGUUUCCGCCCUUCAGUGCUGCAGCUAACGCAUUAAGCAUUCCGCCUGGGGAGUACGACCGCAAGGUUGAAACUCAAAGGAAUUGACGGGGGCCCGCACAAGCGGUGGAGCAUGUGGUUUAAUUCGAAGCAACGCGAAGAACCUUACCAGGUCUUGACAUCCUUUGACCACUGUAGAGAUACAGCUUUCCCUUUCGGGGACAAAGUGACAGGUGGUGCAUGGUUGUCGUCAGCUCGUGUCGUGAGAUGUUGGGUUAAGUCCCGCAACGAGCGCAACCCUUAUGACUAGUUGCCAGCAUUUAGUUGGGCACUCUAGUAAGACUGCCGGUGACAAACCGGAGGAAGGUGGGGAUGACGUCAAAUCAGCAUGCCCCUUAUGACCUGGGCUACACACGUGCUACAAUGGUCGGUACAACGAGUUGCGAACCCGCGAGGGUAAGCUAAUCUCUUAAAGCCGAUCUCAGUUCGGAUUGUAGGCUGCAACUCGCCUACAUGAAGCCGGAAUCGCUAGUAAUCGCGGAUCAGCACGCCGCGGUGAAUACGUUCCCGGGCCUUGUACACACCGCCCGUCACACCAUGAGAGUUUGUAACACCCGAAGUCGGUGGGGUAACCCUUUUAGGGAACUAGCCGCCUAAGGUGGGACAGAUGAUUGGGGGAAGU